GACGAACGCUGGCGGCGUGCCUAAUACAUGCAAGUAGAACGCUGAAGGAGGAGCUUGCUUCUCUGGAUGAGUUGCGAACGGGUGAGUAACGCGUAGGUAACCUGCCUGGUAGCGGGGGAUAACUAUUGGAAACGAUAGCUAAUACCGCAUAAGAGUAGAUGUUGCAUGACAUUUGCUUAAAAGGUGCACUUGCAUCACUACCAGAUGGACCUGCGUUGUAUUAGCUAGUUGGUGAGGUAACGGCUCACCAAGGCAACGAUACAUAGCCGACCUGAGAGGGUGAUCGGCCACACUGGGACUGAGACACGGCCCAGACUCCUACGGGAGGCAGCAGUAGGGAAUCUUCGGCAAGGGACGGAAGUCUGACCGAGCAACGCCGCGGGAGGGAAGAAGGGUUUCGGAUCGGAAAGCUCGGUUGUAAGAGAAGAACGAGUGUGAGAGUGGAAAGUUCACACUGUGACGGUAUCUUACCAGAAAGGGACGGCUAACUACGUG
rnacentral:rRNA from 1 species